GCUUGUUCUACUCCUACAGACCCAGUCCUAUUUAGGAGGGAUUUCAUGCGCGCUUUGGCUCUGAUCAGACUACUGCGUGCCUUCUGUUAGGAAGGUUUCAGGGCACCAGAAAAGCAGCCAAGUCCUCCUUCACACAAUGUCCUGACAGUGGUUGGAAAAAGCAUUUUUCCUCAAGGGACUAAAAGGGUGGAUUGCAUUCCUAAGCCCCUGGAAGGGAGAGGCUUUAUGUAAUUCUCAAAAGAAUUGGUGAGAAGAAAACACAAUCUUAACUUGCAUGCUUAUUUUAAUGGACUAAAAUUAGAUGAGAUCAAACCAGCUAGUGUGAAUUUGUUUACCAGCAGCCAAGUCCCAUUGCAUCUGCUCUUACCUAUCUUUGAUGCCAGUGUAUUACUCCAAACAGCCCUAAUGUGGAUGUUGUGCUCUGAGGGACAUGGGAGCUGCGAAGAACCUGAAUCCUUCCAACUAAGUGGUGACAGCACUCAGAUAGUGAGCAAGAAGAAAUCUUAGACCCUACUAGGAGGCUGGAAAGCCUUUUGCUUCUGUUGCUGUCACAUUCAAGUCUUAUCCAAGCAGAGCAAGAAGAAACAUGCAGAAUUGGGUAUGUUAGACCCACACUUUUCAACUACAUCCAAAUGCCUCUCUUUGUAGUUUUAGUUAGAAGUAGAACUUAUGUUCUUUGUGUAAAGACUGGGCAUUUGCUCUGAGCUGGUCUCCCAGCCUUCCCCCAAUCAACAGAAAGCACCCGCAGAAGCAUCUACUAGAAUAGUAGAUGUUGAAUCAGGGAGAAAUGUCAAAGGAAAAAUCAAUUGAAUGUCUAAAAGCAGC
rnacentral:lncRNA from 1 species